CGGGGCCACCCCCUCCGUCGUCCUCUCUCCCAUCCCCAUUGGGAGACGGAGGAGGUGGUCGAGAGGACGCCAGUCGUGAUUGAGGGUAAGAGACAUGCUGUUGAUGAGACGGAGCAGGUGGUCGGCAAGAGUUUGAGAGUGCCGUCACAGUAUGUUGUUUCCUCCUUCACGGCUGAGGCCAAGAGGAGGACAUUCAUCGAUGGGACGCACCCGAACUUAUUCAGGGAGGUGGACAACGCCAAGUGGAAAGCGUUCGAGAUGGAAUGGAGGAGAAUUAUCCCCGGAUAAGUAUUGUAUGAUUUUAAUAAAAUAUUGUACGCUAACUCGUCUAUGCUUAUUUUAACAUUUCCCUGUUUUUUCAGAGUUAGCCGCACAAUAGGUCAAAGGACAGUCUCGGACGCUUACAAGUGGUUCCACGAUAUCACCACUUUGGGAGCUUAGCUCGUCGACGAUAUAAGUUUAUUAAAUGAAUAACUCAUACUUUUUUUGUGUUUCCUAAUGCAGUACAUCG
rnacentral:lncRNA from 1 species